rnacentral:rRNA from 1 species
UAUGCUUAACACAUGCAAGUCGAACGGAAACGAUGGAAGCUUGCUUCCAGGCGUCGAGUGGCGGACGGGUGAGUAAUACUUAGGAAUCUACCCAGUAGCGGGGGACAACACGGGGAAACUCGUGCUAAUACCGCAUACGCCCUACGGGGGAAAGUGGAGGAUCUUCGGACUUCACGCUAUUGGAUGAGCCUAAGUCGGAUUAGCUUGUUGGUGAGGUAAUGGCUCACCAAGGCGACAAUCCGUAGCUGGUCUGAGAGGACGAUCAGCCACACUGGGACUGAGACACGGCCCAGACUCCUACGGGAGGCAGCAGUGGGGAAUAUUGGACAAUGGGGGCAACCCUGAUCCAGCAAUACCGCGUGUGUGAAGAAGGCCUGCGGGUUGUAAAGCACUUUCAGUAGCGACGAAAAGCCUAGGGUUAAUACCCCUGGGUCUUGACUUAACCUACAGAAGAAGCACCGGCUAACUCCGUGCCAGCAGCCGCGGUAAUACGGAGGGUGCAAGCGUUAAUCGGAAUUACUGGGCGUAAAGCGCGCGUAGGCGGUCUGGUCAGUCGGAUGUGAAAGCCCCGGGCUCAACCUGGGAAUUGCAUUCGAUACUGCCAAACUAGAAUGUGGGAGAGGGAAGUGGAAUUUCCGGUGUAGCGGUGAAAUGCGUAGAUAUCGGAAGGAACACCAGUGGCGAAGGCGGCUUCCUGGCCCAACAUUGACGCUGAGGUGCGAAAGCGUGGGUAGCGAACAGGAUUAGAUACCCUGGUAGUCCACGCCGUAAACGAUGAGAACUAGAUGUCGGGGGGGUUUUGCCUCUCGGUGUCGCAGCUAACGCGUUAAGUUCUCCGCCUGGGGAGUACGGUGGCAACACUAAAACUCAAAGGAAUUGACGGGGACCCGCACAAGCGGUGGAGCAUGUGGUUUAAUUCGAUGCAACGCGAAGAACCUUACCUGCCCUUGACAUCCAGGGAAUCA